UCGGGCCUUGUACACACCGCCCGUCACACCAUGGGAGUCGGUAACACCCGAAGUCUGUAGCCUGACGCAAGAGGGCGCAGCCGAAGGUGGGAUUGAUGACUGGGGUGAAGUCGUAACAAGGUACC
rnacentral:rRNA from 1 species